UCUCAUCACUUCAACGUGCUUGGGAGACAAAAGUUGCAUCCUCCGAAACAUGACCCACCUAACCGUGCUUCUUAACACCCGCCCACUUACCCCGGAAGCCAGCCGCACCAAUGUAUUCCAGGAAACAAGAUUCAACUGAAGACCGAGGCUAGCCUGCAGGCGCCCGGCACAGCACAAUGAGUCAAUAGAGCGCAACAAGCCAUGUGAAGCCCCCCAGCCAAACCCUCCCAUAACCCGGACAACGCUGGGACAAUUGUGCGCUGCCCUAUGGGACUCCCGACCAUGGCCAGUUGUGAUUUGGCCUGGGAUCGAACCUGGGUCUGUUGUGAUGCCUCUAGCACUGUGAUGCAGUGCCUUAGACCGCUGCACCACUCGGGAGGUCCCCUGAAAUGACUGUUCUAGUCAGUCCAGGGUCCAUUUUGAGAUGACAGAGCAGCCAACAAUAAACCAGAGAGAAGAAAAUAAUGCAGUAAGAACUACAGAACUAUAAUCUAAAGGACACAUAUGUUCACUCUUUGCUGAAUAGUAGAGCGAGUGGAUGCCUGAAGUAAAGUGACAACUUCUGUCAUCACUUGAUGUGCCUUUGAUCGAGGUGUUUAUGUACCAGUCUGUGUAGUGUUGCGUAUCUUUACGUAGCCUAUUAGUCACAAGUAAGGUGUGAGGUGUGUGUCAAAUGGAGUAUGUCUGUGUAUGUGUGCAGCGUGUGUGUGUGUGACUCUAUAAACUCAGCAAAAAAAGAAAUGUCCUCUCACUGUCAAAUGCGUUUAUUUUCAGCAAACUUAACAUGUGUAAAUAUUUGUUUGAACAUAACAAGAUUCAACAACUGAGACAUAAACUGAACAAGUUCCACAGACAUGUGACUAACUGUGGAAAGGGGAGACUCUUACAAUUUUUUUUCUCAGAUUUGCUCUACGACUCCCCCAGCGGUCAUGGGACUCAGUCUGAAGGUAACCCAUAAAAAUAAAUGGACGUAUGGAGGUAGUUUUGUGCCAACAUAAAUAGGGAGCUAAAUAUGUGUCCAAAAAGCAAAAAUCUCAUAAGCUUUCUUAAAUCUCCUAGAUAUAAACUAAGAAAAAAAAGAAACAUCCCUUUUUCAGGACCCUGUCUUUCAAAGAUGAUUCUAAAAAAUCCAAAUAACUUCACAGAUCUUUAUUGUAAAGGGUUUAAACACUGUUUCCCAUGCUUGUUCAAUGAACCAUAAACAAUUAAUGAACAUGCACUUGUGGAACGGUCGUUAAGACACUAACAGCUUACAGACGGUAGGCAAUUAAGGUCACAGUUGUGAAAAUUAAGGACACUAAAGAGGCCUUUCUACUGACUCUGAAAACACUAAAAGAAAGAUGACCAGGGUCCCUGCUCGUCUGUGUGAACAUGUCUUAGGCAUGCUGCAAGGUGGCAUGACUGCAGAUGUGGCCAGGGCAAUAAAUUGCAAUGUCCGUACUGUGAGACGGCUUAAACAGCACUACAGGGAGACAGGACGGACAGCUGAUCUUCUGAACAUCACCUGCGGGACAGGUACAGGAUGGUAACAACAACUGCCCGAGUUACACCAGGAACGCACAAUCCCUCCAUCAGUGCUAAGACUGUCUGCAAUAGGCUGAGAGAGGCUGAACUGAGGGCUUGUAGGCCUAUUGAGGGCUUGUAGGCUUGUUGUAAGGCAGGUCCUCACCAGACAUCACCGGCAACAACGUUGCCUAUCGGCACAAACCCACCGUCACUGGACCAAACAGGACUGGCAAAAAGCAAAAAGUGCUCUUCACUGAUGAGUCACGGUUUGUCUCACCAGGGGUGAUGGUCGGAUUCGCAUUCAUCGUCAAAGGAAUGAGCGUUACACCGAGGCCUGUACUCUGGAGCUGGAUCGAUUUGGAGGUGGAGGAUCCGUCAUGGUCUGGGGCAGUGUGCCACAGCAUCAUCUGACUGAGCUUGUUGUCAUUGCAGGCAAUCUCAACGCUGUGCGUUACAGGGAAGACAUCCUCCUCCCUCAUGUGGUACCCUUCCUGCAGGCUCACCCUGACAUGCAUGACAAUGCCACCAGCCAUACUGCUCGUUCUGUGCAUGAUUUCUUGCAAGAUAGGAAUGUCAGUGUUCUGCCAUGGCCUGUGAAGAGCCCGGAUCUCAAUCUCAUUGAGCACAUCUGGGACCUGUUGGAUCGGAGGGUGAAGGCUAGGGCCAUUCCCCCCCAGAAAUGUCCGGGAUCUUGCAGGUGCCUUGGUGGAAGAGUGGGGUAACAUCUCACAGCAAGAACUGGCAAAUCUGGUGCAGUCCAUGAGGAGGAGAUGCACGGCAGUACUUAAUGCAGCUGAUGGCCACACCAGAUACUGACUGUUACUUUUGAUGUGAAACGGCUUACUGACAAGCUGGGGAAUCUGGAGACACGGAGGUCAGUUGAAUGAAUUUGUGGGCACACAUUUUGUCAAAACAAUCACCAAUCAGUGUGGUAUCCCCACUGUAAACCGAAGGCAGUGAGGCCAGUGAAGUUACUCUGUGUACACACUUAUUGACAUUGUGUUGGUUGUUGGCAAGCAUUACUUGUGAUUAUACUGUAGUUAUAAAAACAGAUAAGUUAUAUUCAAUUGUUUGUUUGUCAUCUUUAUUAUAUACAUAGACUGAAUCGAUGCAGAUGAACAAAGACAUGAUUGUGCAAUGCUGGCCUCAGCUCAAACUCUUCACAACUGAGAGAGCUGGACCGGAGUGACAAUGAUGUUUAGGAUUCAGGUGUGAAGCUGCUCUCUGUUGGACUGGGGAAUACACCAUGUGAACUGGAGACACGGAGAUUGUUAGGCUGUCUGAUUAACGUGGAAAGCUUCCGCUCUGAGGUCAAACCCCUCACACCUGAGAGAGCUGGAUAUUAGCCACAAUUAUCCUGGAGUCUCGGGAGUAAGACUGCUCUCUACUGGACUGGAGGAUCCACGCUUGAAACUGGAGAAACACAAAUAUAUUGUCACUGAUGUUCUGCUUUUCCUACAAUGUGGACCAUGGUGGAGAGGUCUGGUUGAAAUCAGGGCUGAAGAAUUGUGAGUAUUGACUGAUGUCACACAUGCUGUUAGGAAUUGAAAACUGGUCACACGCACGUGCACACACCCUAUGAUGAUUCAUGUAAAUAUUUUUGAGUGUAGUUCAUUCAAGUUCACAUACAUUGCACGGGAGUAAUUUAAUCAAUAAAGUGAAUCAGAACACUAAAACAGUCGGAAAGCAGGGAUCUUGUAAUUGCUUUUCAUUGUUGUAUUACAUUGCUGAACAUGUAUUUGUCUAGUAGUAAUGUUUCUGUAAAGGUAUUGUUUUGUAAACGCAUGGUUUCGACUAGAUAUUAUUGUAUCCAAAGUUACAGAUCUUAAUUUGAUCACUUGUCACUGAGAAUUUUCCUGCUCUGCAGGAAAUGAAGAUGAGCUUUGUGAUUCACUGAAAAUCCGCACUCGGUUAUGUUAACAGUAUUCCACUUUUCAUGUAGCCUCAUUUUGACCAGCUAACAGCCUAACCAACGAUCAAGCAACAUUAUGGACUAAACAUAAAAAUCCUGUUGCUGCAGGAUUAUUUUGUCACAGCAAUACAGGUCAAAUGUAAGAUUCUACAUCUAUAAUAAGUAACUAGAAUGAUACAGAGAAACGUGUUAUCUAGAAGGUGCACACACUACGUCUGUUCUCUCAAGGUCUCACUCAGCAGCAUAGCCAAGGGAAUCUCAUUUACUGUACAAUUUAAAAACUCUAAAAUGCUGUUUGGAGAACAGAGAAAAACGAAAGAAAAUGCCCAUAGACAUGAAUUAUCACUGCAAUAUCAAAUCAAAUUUUAUUUGUCACAUGCGUCGAAUACAACAGGUUUACCGUGAAAUGCUUACUUACCCAACAAUGCAGUUUAAAGAAAAAUAAGAGUUAAAUAAAAAAUAAAUAAAAGUUGCAAACAAUUAAAGAGCAGCAGUAAAAUAACAGUAGCGAGGCUAUAUACAGAGGGUACCGGUACUGUCACGAACCUCGCUGAAGAGGGUGCCUCUUCCUGUUCGGGCGGGGCUCGGCGGUCGUCGUCACCGGCCUAUUAGCUGCCAUCGAUUCUUUUUCCGUUUGUGGUUGUUAUUGGUUUAUUGGGUACACCUGUUUUGUAUUAGGGUUUGUUUGUAGGGUAUUUAAGGGCACUAGGCCUGCUGGGUAUUUUGUGCGGGCUUGUUUAUUGUUACUCUGUGUUUGAUGGUGUAUUGCUUUUCGUGUUCUUUAUUUAUCCGGUCUAUUUUGUCCUGUUGUUUUUGGACUGGCAACUUAUACGCCUUGUGUGUUGGCGUCAUUCAUUUUGGUUGCACCGGUGAAUAAAUGUUUGAUAAACGACAGAACACUGCUCUCUGCGCCUGAUUCCACCCACCACUCAUAGUUUUUCGUAACAGGUACAGAGUCGAUGUGCGGGGCCACAGGUUAAUUGAGGUAAUAUGUACAUGCAGGGAGAGUUAGUGACUAUGCAUAGAUAAUAAACAGAGAGUAGCAGCAGCAUA